GCGUUUGAUGUGAGGAACAAGCAGGCUUCGCUCAAGGCCGACGAUUCGGUGUGUGUGGUGGCAGUUUAAGGAGUGGCGAAAUCUUCUGUUGGAUUGCUGCAUGCUCUGGUCUGAAAGUUUGUGCUUUGAAGGAGUGGCAACAUCUUCAGGUGGAAGGAGAGGCAGUUCAAGGACAUCUGCGGCAAUGGUCUGAAUUGAUUCAGGACUGCCUACCUAGCAGCAGCAGCAGCAGAGGCCGGGCAAUUCCACUGAAUUUUGGUCGAAGCAGGACAAUUCAAAGCAGCAGCAGAGUUCGUUUGGUUGAAGCAGCAGCAGCAGUAGGCGUCGGGGGGCAGCACAGUCGGCGAGGAAGGAGUCGGAGGGGAAGGAGAGACUGGGCUGGCGAUCGGAAUCUCCCAGCAGCAGAGACGGGGCCGGCGAUCGGAGUCUCAAAGUAGCAGAGACGGGUUGGCAGCGGUGCAGGUCGAGGUGGGCGGCGCCGCAGUGGCUGGUCGCGCAGGUGGGCGGCGUUAUCACACAGGUGGUCGCCGGCAGGUGGUCGCGACGGAUCGAGGACCGGCUCGCCUGGUGGUCGCGGCGUUGGGCGGCGGAAUCCGCGGGCAGCUGGUGGCGGGUGGGCGGCGGUGCGUGGUUGCGGGUGGGCCGUGAGUGCAGGAAUCUCCAGCACGGCGGCGGAAUCCCGCGGCGCCGGCCCCUGGCCCCUGGCGACGCACGGGCGGCGGACAGAGGAAGCAGAAGGAGUCAAGGACGUGCUUGCUACUGUUUUAAAAUUGUGAGGUGUUUUUUGCAAAACGUACACUGUACAUGAAUUUCAGGACGAAGGGAGUAUGUAGGUUUUGUAGGUACUAAUAUAGAUCUAGAAAAUACAAUACAUUUAGGAUGUGAUCCUGCCGGUGAUGUUGUGGGCUGAGCAACCCACUUCUCUGUUCUGCUCUUGUGAUUGCGCACCAAGCAGGUUCGUGUCGGCGGCUCUGUGCAUUGCCAAAUUUUGUUGUUUCACUCAUAUCAAUGAAAUGAUACGUAAUCUUUGUAUAUUUGUGAAAAUACAAUGAAAAGACCCAGGCUGCGCAUUAAGGAGCA